CAGAGCAAUGCAUGUGGACCAUGACCCUUUCCUCCCAAACCUGAGACAGGGGCGCGGUGAUGGGCAGCUCCCAUCCUCCUGUGGGGCUGCCUGUGGGAAACCACUCACUCAUUUCCUGGCUCCUGACAGUCACCACAUGUGCUGGAGGCGGGGACAAGCGGAAAGGGCUGCUUUGCGUUUGGUUCCUGAUGGGAAGCAUCAAAGCUGUUCCCCGUCAUUAACUAUGAUUGCAGGACAAUUUCCCUUGUCCCAGGUGCAGCCAUAUAGACUGCGACAUGCAAGGAGUCCAAAUGGCCCACAUAGAAAACAGGUGUCAGAGUGAGGGCUCUGGCUGCACUGUCCGGGGAGAAAGGCUGUGUGUGACACCGUGUGCAGGGAGCAGUGAAGGACACAGCCUCUCCGUCACAAAGAGACAGAGGGGCUCAGCACUACCUCCAGGGAAGACCUGAGCUCCAUUCUCAACACACCCAGGCCAGCCCAACGGACAGUGGCAGGUGAUUGUCUACAUUGGAGGAAACCCAGGUCACCACUGCAGCCUGGUCAGCAGCCUCUCCAUGGCCUGGGAACCACAUGGCUCAAAGCUGAGACUCUCUUCUCCACAGCCGGUGGGGUCACCAAGAAGACUUCAGAACCACUGGGGUCCGACGAUCAGGGCCACGUGUGAAGGUUUUCAAAGCUCCGGUGUGGGUCCAAACACAGGCAGGGUGGGCAUCCUUGGUCAGAGGUCAGUGGCCCUCAGAGGUGACUUCGGCUACCCUUGACCCACUUCAGUGGAAAAUCCUAAUAAAAUGGAUUAGAAAUGUGGGCAGAUUGACUUGGAGACAGAUAACAUGCACGAGGGGGUAGGCCAGGUCAUAUCUGGGGACUCAGAGUGCAGAGCAACUGUCACCAAGCUCUUGUGGCUUCGGCUCAUUCAUGGGUCAGACCCUGGGAGACCCUCGGUGCCCUAGAGGAGCCCUGUGCAGCCUGGUCCUGCUGCUCCUGCAUUCUCUAUCCAGCAUCUCGGGGGUAGCAGUGUCCCCCACU